rnacentral:rRNA from 1 species
UGCAUAUCAAUAAGCGGAGGAAAAGAAACUAACAAGGAUUCCCAUAGUAACGGCGAGUGAAGUGGGAAGAGCUCAAAUUUGGAAUCUCCAGGGUUGAACUCUGGCGAAUUGUAGUCUCGAGAAGGCUUUUCUGGCGUGGCUGACGGUCUAAGUUCUUUGGAACAAGGCAUCAGAGAGGGUGAGAAUCCUAUAUUCGACUGCCCA